CGAAACGUGAAGGCUACGCCUUGGACGUGCACCCACCAUGGGCCAUGCACUUUAACACAUAAUAUGUUCAAUCCUCAUUAAAACUGAUAUUUCUGUUUCCCCAAUUCAAGAAAGGCAUUCAUACUAUAUCAUGCCUGCCAGAAAUCGUUUGAUUUCAUCAUCACCGGCAACCCUGCCGCCACCGCCCAUUCCCACCGGCAAGGGAUCGCGUUCUGCCGUGGAUCCAGUUUUAUCCGAUUACAUAGACCAGUCAAUACAUAUCCCGGAAUUGACUCUCCCUGAGCAUGUUCAUAGUUUAAAGCCACUUGAUAUUGAUUAUCAACUGCUCAUAUCAAUGGAUGAUGAUGAAUCAAUGAGUCCGCUGUUGACAUCGGCUAGGGGACUCGGAAUUUUUCGGAUUAUUGGGCAUGGAAUUUCUAGUGAUGAGUUAAGAUCAAUAUUGGUUGAUUGUGAACAGAUAUUUGGACUGCCAAUUGAAUGUUGCACAAAUUAUGGAGAUCAUGAGAAGUUUGUGUGGUGUGAUGAUGAUAAAGAGUUCAUGGAGAAGGGUAAAUUUGUUCUUGGAGAGCAAAAAUUUCAUAUUUUCAGGUAAAAGUUACCAAAGUUUGAAUUUUAAGGUCCGUUUGAUUGGAGUGAAUUUCAUGGAUAAUAUCACAUUCAAUGAAUUCAUUUUUUACUUUGGCUGUUUGAUACGAAAGUGAAAAUGAAGUUCAAAUUCUAAAAUACAAAUAUGUAAAGCAUAUUUUUGGUCAAUUCCAUAGAAAAUGCAUUCCUAUGGUUUUGGUGAUUUUUUUUUUCCCAACUUACAUGGAAUUGGUUUGUACCUUGGAAAUCAAACUUCAUUUCCAUUAUCAAACAGCAAAAGUAGAAUUCUUCGAAUGCGAUAUUUUCCAUGGAAUUCACUCCAAUCAGGCGAACCCUUUGUCUAUUUUGCAUUUCCAUUGUAGGUUGAAUUUUUGGUUCGUUACAUUGUUUAGGCGUCUUUUGCGUUUUGAUUUUUAAGACUUGAUUUCUAUUUUAAGAUAUCAACAUUUUAAAAAUUUACACUUGUAAAAGGGUCAUUCGAGAAAAUUUUCAGCUUGUCAGCUUCGUUUUUUCUUCACAAUAAACACUAGCAAUUUUCAUACACAAGUGAAGCUAAAACUUAACUGAGUAUAUUCAUCCAAUCCAAGCCAUCAAAGACCAAACUGUAUAACUUGGAUUCGCUAGUUAGUAAGAGUGGAAGACGAAGGAAGGGACGAAUAGUCAAUUUUGAAAAAAAUUAUUGUCAACCUCUUUCAUUUAUGAAUCUAUCCGAUUCAGAAGGGAAGUCUUUACAUCAGUAUCUCAAUUUCAUCCCACGUGCAGAAAGAUGGAUACCUUCCUUAAAGUUUCACGAGUUGAGAUUAUUUACACCAUUUGCAGGCAAAAAAUGGAGUAUGUUGCCACAAAACUCAAAUCUAUUGCAGAAGAAUUGGCAAAGGUAAUUGCUCCAAGUGCUAUAAACCAAUCUCCAGAGCAAGUUCAAUUAGGGGAAUCCACAUUGAGCAUAUAUAGGUACCAUGGAGCUAAUAUCAUCGAUCGAAUUCCCUCUCUAGUCGAGGAAAAAUGCCAAGAAUCAUGUCAAUAUGCUUUGAAGCUCCAUCUUAUACUAGAUUCAGGCGAGUUCUGUUGGCAGUUGGAGUUGCAUAGUUCGUCAUUCAGCCCAAGCAACAACACCAUUGUUGUAAAUAUGGGGAAAGAGUUGGAGGUAAUUUAAUUUAGAUUAUUUCUAUUCCAAAUUGGGUCGUGAAUUAACAUAAUUUCAUUUUUAAUUGUUAAAUAUAGGAAGGGAGCCAUAACGAACUGAAGUCAGCUGGUGGGGAAUUACUUUUCAGGCCUUACCUUCAUACUAAUCGCCCAUCUUUCUCAAUUGAACAGAAGUGGUCAUCUUGUAAUUUGAAUAAAAUUCAGAAUGAUUCUAGCAAGCGAAUCUCAUUGGCUGAUCAGAUCUUGGUUCUAUUGCUAGUGGUAUUGUUAUACAAUACUUUUACUUUUGUUUACUCUUGAAUCAAACCGAACUAAGUCAACCAGUAUUAGUCGUGUUUGGUUUCACAAUGUGUGUUGUGUUAUACUGAAGUUAGGCAUCAUGUUUGACAAUGUUGAUGCAAGAAAAUUUGUCAUGAGGAUUAAUGUGUACUGAAAGUGAAAGUUCAAGAGAUUCAUGUACAUUCUUUAUGAAAUUUUCUUUGUCGUAAAUGAUCUAGUGUGGUGUAAAGAAUUAUCAAGAAAAUGAUGAAGACAUCCAUUUUAUUUAUUUUCUAGUUGGACUUUUAUCUAUGUUUUGGACUCUUAUUUAUGUAAUUGGGCUUAUACAAGGGGUUUGGCCCAAUCCCGUUGUUUUCAGGGCUUUGU
rnacentral:lncRNA from 1 species